rnacentral:rRNA from 1 species
GGGGAAUAUUGCACAAUGGGCGCAAGCCUGAUGCAGCGACGCCGCGUGAGGGAUGACGGCCUUCGGGUUGUAAACCUCUUUCAGUAGGGAACAAGGCCAGUCGUUGACUGGUUGAGGGUACUUGCAGAAGAAGCGCCGGCUAACUACGUGCCAGCAGCCGCGGUAAUACGUAGGGCGCAAGCGUUAUCCGGAAUUAUUGGGCGUAAAGAGCUCGUAGGCGGUUUGUCGCGUCUGCCGUGAAAGUCCGGGGCUCAACCCCGGAUCUGCGGUGGGUACGGGCAGACUAGAGUGAUGUAGGGGAGACUGGAAUUCCUGGUGUAGCGGUGAAAUGCGCAGAUAUCAGGAGGAACACCGAUGGCGAAGGCAGGUCUCUGGGCAUUAACUGACGCUGAGGAGCGAAAGCAUGGGGAGCGAAC